GAGACAGCGCCCUCGUCGGCCGCCAUCUUGGAAGAGGGCAAAGACACUCCUGACGCUCUCCGCCUUUCAGUUCGCUUCAAACGCCAGUGCCAUGUUGGAUCACGAAUGAAGCAUUGGCAAGAAUGUGGAGAAAAAGGAACCCUCCUGCCCUGAUGGAUAUAAUCAGUUCCUUGAGAGAGGAUAUUUCUGACACAACUUAGCAUCUCUGACUACCAGAAGAAUAGGGGCUUAGUUUCAGGAGCAGGUAAUGUGCAUGAGCUCAUUUAUUUUUAUUUUUAUUUUUUAUGGGUGCCUGGGUGGCUCAGUCAGUUAAACAUCUCUUGAUUUUAGCUCAGGUCUUGACAUCGGGGUCAUGAGUUCAAGCCCUGCAUUGGGCUCCACAUAGGCAUGGAGCCCGCAUUAAAAAAAAAAAAAAAAUCCAUCAUCUUUUAUUUUUGAGAGCAAGCAAGCAUGUGUGCACAUGCUAGCAGGAGCAGUGGGGUGGGGAGAGGCAGAGAGAGAAUUCCAAGCAUGCCCAACAGAGGGCUUGAUCUCAUGACCCUGAGAUCAUAAUCUGAGCUGAAAUCAAGAGUCAUGUGCCUAACGGACUGAGCCACCCAAGCACCCUGCACUCAUUUAAUUUUUAUAACCAUGGGGGGAGGAGGUAUUACUCUAAUUUUAUAGACAAGAAAACUGAAGCACAAACUACACAACUCCAGUAGGAGGUGCAGCUGGAACCGACUCCCCUUGGCUGAUUAACCAGGUUUGCUAAGCCCUACCCUAGUCUCCUGUAGUGUUUGUCUUCAGUGAACAGGUCAGGUGCUUUCUGGAGAGAGAUCUGGGACUUCAUGGACCUUACAGAGUAGGUUGUAUGUCUACUUGUUAAUAAGUACUUGACGGGGGGCGCAUGGGUGGCUUAGUGGGUUAAAGCCUCUGCCUUCGGCUUAGGUUGUGAUCUCAGGGUCCUGGGAUCAAGCCCCACAUCAGGCUCUCGGCUCAGCAGGGAGCCUGCUUCCUCCCCCUCUCUCUGCCUGCCUCUCUGCCUACUUGUGAUCUCUGUCUGUCAAAUAAAUAAAUUAAAAAAAAAAAAAAAGUAAUUGAUGAACCUGGCCUGAGGCUCUCUUUCACUUUAACAUAGCACCUGGAAUAAGGUUGUGGAGGAGCCCUGUAACUCCACCUCUCUUAACUACUGGAGGCUACUAACGUCUGCCCAAAAGAAGCUAGUAAGUGUGAAUGACCAAAUCGACAGGUUACUUUAUAAUUUUCUUCUUUCUUAAUUAUCUCCAACUAGAAAAACUCUAGUCCCAGAGUCCAAUAAUGUGAGGAUUUAUACACACUUCCACGUGGUCACCACUGGGGCAAAAACAGUCUCUGACAUGAAGCCCUCCCUGCAGAAUAUCAGCAUUUGGAACACAGCAGGGCCUGCGGGCUAAGAUUUCAAACAAGCAGCAGUUAGAAAUUUUAAAGUUGUCUCCAAACAUUGUAGGUCUCCUGGCUGUCUCCAGUUCCAGUGAUCAAAGCCACUGAAGGUAAAUGAUUAUAGCUGUCGGAAUGGCCCCUCCCACUUCCCUUUUGGGUCACUGUCAAGGAAAUCCUACCCUAGUGACCCUGUCUUUCUUCUGCAUCUAUCUCAGAUGGCCCCAUUGGAUUCUCUCCUAACUCAGGUAGCUCCAGGUUCCGAAAACACCUGAGAUUGUUGUCCUGGCUGGUUGUUUCAUAUCACAAGUAAUCUGGUAAUUGCUUCUGAAAUGCAGGUCUACUUAGAUUUGGUGGUGAGGAGCAUAGAACUGGUACUUUUAAAAUGUCUUAAAAAGUGGAAAAUAUGUGUGAAUAUAAAUGGCUAAACCCAAACUAUAACGUAGGUAUUGAGUCUAUACUAUCAAUGUAAUUUGGUGAAACUAUGGACCAUGCCCUCCAGACUGAUUUCACACAAACAUUUAAGUUUUAAUUUCAUUGUAAUUUGAAAAGUAAUAUGCCUGGUUCAGUAAAAUUUGGAGUUCUCGUUUUUCUAUAAUCCAUCUGGAACAGUGCUGAUAGAACUUUACAGAAAGUUUUAACCUGUGCUGUCCGAUCAGGUAGCCACUAGUCACAUGUGACUACUGAAUGCUUGAAAUGUGGUUAGCACAACUGAGGAACUGAAUUUGAAAAUUUAUUUAUUUUAAUUAACUUAAGCUUAAAUAGCCACUUGUGACCGUGGCUACCAUAUUAGUCAUAAUGGAAGUAGAAUUUGAUGAUGACCUUAUAACAGGAUAGUCUAUUACUUUGCAGUCACAAAGUAACCUAAAAUCUUGGUGAUUUAUAAGAACCAAGGCUUAUUUCUUACUUGUGUUAUGUACCCAGUGGGGGUUGACUGGGGGCCCAGGCCAAUAAAGCAGUCACCAUCUUACAUGUUGCCAGUCAUAGGGGAGAGCCUUACACUAGCACUUAAGUGCUCUGGCCCAGAGGAGACACCCACCACUUCUACUCACAGCUCACUGCCUGGCACAAGUCACAGCCCCAUCGAGCCAAGGACCCACAAUGCUGUGCCAGGGGGAAAAGAGCCUCCUUAAUGACUAGCAAGGAUGUUUGCCUCCCUUUCAAAAUACAGUGAAGGAGUUCCUACAGGGUAAAGACAGUAGUAUUACUUGUAUUUUCUUGAAAAUUGGAGAAUUGAGUUUCUUUAGAAUUCAGUUAUCCUUAAUCUCCUUGACACUUAUUAGCAUUGAUUUAUUAAUAACCAGUAAGAUGUGAAAAGUAAAAUUCAAAACACUUUGAUUAAAAAGUAAAAGACACUAUAUAAAGUUAGAGCUGACAAUAGUCAUCGUGUCUUUUUAAUUAUACAUGGAAGUAUCAUUUAAUAUGAGGUUCUGCAAUGUAAACAGCAACUAAUGAAUUUUUAUGUGUUUGGGAUGAAAAUGGAAUGGGAGAAAAUGUCUUUUUUUCCUGGUGCAGAAUAUUUAUAGUCAGUUUUUCCCUAGCAAGGAAUAAAAAGUCCUUUUCUUUAAAAAUAGUAAUUUCCUCACUAGGAACACUUGUAGAUUGUGGUUGCCUAAAAAAAAAAUGAAAAAAAUUAAAUAUUUAUUAAUUGGACAAUGGAUUUUUUCCCUCCAGACUACAUUGUAGAAUCAUAGAAUCAUCUAACCAACAUUUAUUAGUAUGCCUUGAUCCUUUCUAGAGUAUCUAUAAUAUCGUUUGAACACUCAAGACAUAUGGGACUCACCAUCUGAUAACAGAUUUCCAAUAGAGCAGGAGGGCAAUCAGGAAUUUCCUCCUAACAAAUGUUUCAAUAUCAAGACACAGAAAGAUAGCACUUGAUUGCCAAUAACCGCAGCAAAAUUACAAAUGCAAACCAAGCCCUAGUUAAUAAUAUUAAUGAUGAUGAUUAUUUUGUCACAUGCUGUAAAUGUCAUAUAGAUCUUAGCAUUAUGAAGAUUUGCUAGAUAUCGAAUGUAUGGAAGUUAUCUGUAGAAUUGAACCAAACUGAUGCUCAAGAGAGAUUUUGCACAAAAUUUGCAAAUUAGGCUACCCAGUGUGAACAAGAUCUCUGUAAGUUGUUCUGUUCUGUAGUGAAACCCAACCGUCUCAGCCAUUCAUACAGCACAGCUUUUGUUUGUCAUAGCCAGGAGCUCUCUGGGUAGUCUCCAGCUGGUGGCAGAGAAAGAAAGAGAAGGCUGCAGAGACUGAACAAACAGCAUGCACUGUGGUAUCCUUUAUUUAAAAACUGUGAGCUAACUACAGUCGUAGUGUUCUCAUUUACCAUUCCGAUGGCAUAAUAAACUGGGAGAACAUUAACACAAUUUCAAGACAUUAAAAACCUGUAGCAAACACACACACACCACACAUACGCACACAUGACAACACACAUGCACACAAAGAUUAUAGUCUAAACACAGCUAAGUGAAGAAAAGCUUCAAAUGCUCUAAAUCAAAUUUUAAAACCCUUUAUUAUAAACUGUGGCAAUACUGUGGCUAUUAUGAAAAAAAAAUGUUUAACUGCUUAAAAAGCAAAAAGAAAAAUACUGGCAAAUUUGAAACUAGCAGCAAAAAGCAGAUAAAAAUAGAAUGGAAGGUAACAUAAGACUAAUAUCAAAGUUCUAAAGUUGAUACUGUGUAGGGUUGAACUGAAGUCAUUUCAGACUGGUUCUUGAGGAACUAUUAAAAAGUCC